UCCUCCUAGUAGGCACUCUCUCUCCCACACACACAGCCCGUCAGUGGCGUGAACCCAAGACAGCUCGUGACACCUCUUUCCACCCUCUCCAGCAUGGGGCUUCUGGUCGUGGCGCUAUGGGUCACGGCCCUUCUGGCACAAGAAACGGCACAGGCAUUCUUCCUGAGAACCACCACAGCAUCGACCAAAGUGACGACCAAAUUGGUGAAUGUCUCCAGCAGUGUCACUCCUGUCAUCUUUACGGACAUGGUGACGAACAUCACAUACACAGUGGCGCAAACGACCUACAUAGAGGAGUUUGCAAAGUAUUCCACGACGGGGGGAAGCUCGAGCGUUAGUACAUCAGUUGCUGUCCUGGCCCUGCCACAACUGCUUUUGUCUGCAUUGUGGCAAUAAAGUGCCACCUAGAAUCAUGGGAGGAAAGUGCAAAAUAAUGAAAACAUGUAACCAUGUAAAAAUCUUGAAUAGGAGCAUGACAGUACUUUAAUGCUGCACCUGGUUUACUGCUGUUUGUUAACCAAUUGAAUAUCAUUUUAGUAAAAAAUGUUCUUGGAUGAUUA